ACCAAGAUAGUUAAAUAAAUAACUGAACUUUGAAGAGGUUUGAUUGGGGUGUUAAAUUCCCUCUCUUGGUA
rnacentral:tRNA from 1 species